rnacentral:sRNA from 1 species
UAGGGUAGGGUUUGGGGUAGGGUUAGUGGUUGGGAUAGGGUUGGGGUAGGGUUAGGGUUAGUGGUUGAAAUAGGGUUAGGGGUAGGGUUAGGGUAGGGGUAGGGUUAGGGUAGGGUAACCCUAUUCCUAACCCUACUCAUAACCGUACCAAUAACCCUAUGCUAACCCUAACCUUACCCCUAACCCUACCAUAACCCUACUCCUAUCCUUAACCCUGCUCCUAACUCGACCCUUCCCCUUACCCUACCACUAGCUCUAACCCUACCAUAACCCUUAACCCUACCCUAUUUUUCCCAUGCGCAUCCCUACUUUUCUGUGCUAUCAAAGAG